CUGAGGCUGUACUCGCCGGAACAAAGGCUCCUGCCCGGCCGGGCUCGGGCUGAAGGGAGCGCGCCGUGGCCUGGGGCUCCAGAGCUAGCAGCCCUGGGGGAAGGAGCCGCUCCCCGGAGCGCCAUGCCCCCCAAGGAGCCCGGCUGCGCCUGGUGGAUUCUCCUGUCCCUCUGCAGCUUGUGCGCGGCUCAGCCCCCGGAGAGCCAGGGCUAUUUGAUAGCAGCACCUUCUGUUUUCCGAUCAGGCGUAGAGGAAGCUGUUAGUGUGACCAUCUUUAACUCAAUCAAGGAAACAACAGUCCAGAUUCAGCUAGUGGUCAAAGGAGAAACAGUGGCACGAGGCCAUGGAGCAGUUCUGGAUAAAGGGACAAUCAAGCUUAAGGUGCCUUCAGGGCUUCGUGGACAAGCACAUUUAAAAGUCUGGGGAAACCGGCACCUAACGGAGGAAGGUUACAUCUUUCAUAACUAUACCACAGUAACCAUAGAUAGCAAAGGGACAUCGGUGUUCAUCCAGACUGACAAGCCUGUCUAUAAACCCAAGCAGAAAGUGCUGAUAAACCUGUUUAUGGUCACUUCUGACCUGCGACCGAUCAAUGAGAAGAUUGAAGCCUACAUAGUCGAUCCUCGGGGGUCUCGGAUGAUAGAAUGGAGCAAUCUGAAGCCAUUUUGUUGUGGUAUUGUAAAUAUGAGUUUCCCUUUGUCUGAUCAGCCAGUAUUUGGCGAGUGGUUUAUCUUUGCUGAAAUGCAAGGGCAUGCAUACAACAAAUCCUUUGAAGUUCAGAAAUAUGUGUUACCAAAAUUUGAGCUGUUGAUUGACUCACCUCUCUAUAUCCGAGAUCUUGCGACUUGUGAAAAGGGAACUGUCCAUGCCAGAUACACGUUUGGGAAACCAGUGACAGGAAAGUUAACUGUCAACAUGACUAUAAAUGGAGUGGGGUACUACCGGCAUGAAGUGGGACACCCUGUCCUCAAAACUAUAGAGAUUGAUGGCUCUGCUGUUUUCGAUGUGUGUGUGAGAGACAUGAUGCCAGCUGAUGUCCCAGAGCAUUUCCGAGGCACGGUCAAUAUUUGGGCCACUGUGACCAGUUCUGAUGGGAGCAAGCAGGUCACGUUUGAUGACUCAACGCCUGUUCAGAAACAGCUGAUUGACAUCAAGUAUACUAAGGAUACUAGGAAGCAGUUCAAACCUGGCCUACCCUACAAAGGGAAGGUAGAAGUCACUUACCCUGACGGGAGCCCUGCUGACGGGGUCACAAUUCGAAUCAAAGCUGAGUUAACUCCAAAGGAUAACGUUUACACAAGUGAACUGGUAUCCAGAAGAGGCUUGGUGGAGUUUGAAAUCCCCUCUAUUCCUACAGCUGCCCAGUAUGUCUGGCUGGAGACCAAAGUGACAGCAAUUGAUGGGAAACCUGCAGGGGACCAAUAUCUGCCAAACUACUUGUCUAUCAGCAGCUGGUACUCACCUAGCAAGUGCCAUAUCCAGCUCCAAGCACCAGACAAGCCUUUCCAGGUGGGAGAGGAGGCCCAGAUCGCAGUGAAGUCAACGUGUCCAUGUAAUUUCACUCUACAUUACGAAGUUGCAUCGCGAGGUAAUAUUGUCCUUUCAGGGCUGCAGCCUGGUAACAUCACACAGCAAAGGAGCAAAAGAGCCACAUUCCCCUUUGAUAAGAACAUCCAUGUCACUCAUUUCCCAGGAACAGCACCUACCAACCCCCCUGCAACGGAGGUUGAAGUCUGCAUGACCUUCCUCCAUUUCAUGGUGGCUCACAGCAUGGCUCCUCUGGGCCGUCUCUUGGUGUAUUACGUCAGGGAGAAUGGAGAAGGGGUCACAGACAGUCUGCAAUUCACUGUCAAGUCCUCCUUUGAAAACCAGGUUUCAGUGGCACUUUCAGCAAAUGAGACAAGGCCUGGUGAUGUUGUGAACCUCAAAGUUAAAGCCGUGAAGGGAAGCUGUGUCUGCAUUGCCACGGUGGAUAAGAGCGUCUACCUUCUCAAGACAGGUUUUCAGCUGACAUCUGCCCAGGUUUUCCAGGAGCUGGCAGAGUAUGAUGUUUCUGAUGCCUUUGGGGCUCCCAAGGAAGAAGGGCAUUUCUGGUGGCCAGGCAUGUCCUCACGCAGACGCCGCCGCUCCUCUGUCUUUCCCUGGCACUGGGAUAUCACCAAAGAUGCCCGCUUUGCAUUUACAGAAACUGGUUUGGUUGUGAUGACUGAUUUAGUCAGUCUAAACCACAGACAGAAUGGAGGCAUGUAUACAGAUGAGGCCGUGCCAGCCUUUCAGCCUCACACUGGGACACUGGUAGCUACCAUGCAUUCUAAGAUUGUACCCAGAGCAGAGAAGAAAAAAAGAACAUUCUUCCCUGAAACAUGGAUUUGGCACUGCCUCAAUGUCAGUGAUGUAUCAGGAGAAGCACAGCUGCAUGUGGAAGUGCCUGACUCAAUCACUACAUGGAUAACAGAGGCUGUGGGUCUGUCUGAGAAGAAAGGGCUGGGACUUGCCAAACAAACAGAACUGAAGACAUUUAAACCUUUCUUCAUCGAUUUCACCCUGCCCUAUCAUGUCAUCCGUGGGGAGCAGACCAAAAUCCCGCUGACUGUCUACAAUUACCUGGCUGUCUGCAUAGAGGUUCAUGUGAAGAUUUCAGUUCCAAAAGGUAUAAAGUUUGUUGGACAUCCUGGGAAACACCAUCUGACAAGAAAGAAGUGUGUGGCCCCUGGAAAGGCCAAACCCACCUCCAUAGUCUUAUCCUUCAGUGAGCUUGGACUAAGCAACAUCACAGCAAAAGCAUUUGCUUAUGGUGGAACAAACUGCUGCCAGGAUGGGAUGCAGAUCCUAAAGAAUGGCAAGCACUCAGAGGACAAUUACUUGGACAAAAGGACCCCAGUUGGGAUAGACUAUGUCCGUAGUAGUGUUAUUAUUGAGCCAGAGGGAUUAUCCAGAGAAUAUACCUACAGUGUGUUCUUCUGCCCCAAUGAGAAAAUUCACAUUUCUACACCUAACAAAUAUGAGUACCAGUAUAUGCAGAAGCCUGCCCGGAUGACUCAUUUUGACAUUGCAGUGAAAGCACACAAUGAUGCUCAUUUUGCCUUGUCCUCUGGCCCACAUGACAUGGCAGAGAUGGCUGAGAUUGUCAUUGGUGGGCAUCAAAAUGCUAAAACAUGGAUUUCUACUAGUAAAAUGGGUGAGCCAGUUGUCAGCACAGACACAGCUGGCAUCCUCUCUUGGGAUGAAUUCAGGAGCUUCUGGAUCAGCUGGAAAAAUGGAAUUAUUCAGGUUGGCUAUGGUACUCAGAUGCUAAAUGAAUCCAUUAUUGUGGAGUGGGCCAUCCCCAAACAGCCCGAGGUGAAGUACAUUGGCUUCUCCACGGGCUGGGGCUCAAUGGGAGAGUUUAAAAUCUGGAGAAAAGAAGAGACUGAUGAAAAUCACAAUGAAGCAUUUACUCUUGGAGUUCCCCACAAUGUGAUCCCUGGAUCAGAAAGAGCUACUGCCUCAAUAAUAGGCGAUGUAAUGGGCCCUACGCUUAACAACUUGGACAAUCUUCUACGAUUACCAUUUGGAUGUGGAGAGCAGAACAUGAUCCAUUUUGCUCCCAAUAUCUUUGUCCUAAAAUAUCUCCAGAAAACCAAACAGCUCAGCCCUGAGGUGGAGAGCGAAGCCACAGAUUACCUGGUGCAAGGUUACCAACGCCAGUUGACCUACAAGAGACAAGAUGGUUCAUACAGUGCUUUUGGCGAGAGGGACUCCUCAGGGAGUAUGUGGCUAACAGCCUUUGUUCUCAAGUCCUUUGCGCAGUCUCGUGGGUUUAUUUUCAUCGAUCCCAAGGAAUUAACAGCUGCAAAGGACUGGAUCAUCCAGCACCAGAAGGAAGAUGGCUCGUUCCCUGCUAUGGGUAGAAUAUUAAAUAAGGAUAUCCAGGGUGGAAUCCAUGGCAAGAUCUCACUGACAGCAUAUGUGGUUGCAGCUCUGUUGGAGACGGGCAUCACCUUUGAGGAAGAAAAAGCAGCAGUUGCCAAAGCAAAACACUUCUUGGAGUCCAACUUGUAUUCUGCAGAAGACCCCUACACCACAGCCCUGACUGCAUAUGCCCUGACUCUUCUGCACAGUCCCUCUGCUGCAGUGAUGUUGCGGAAAAUGAACAGCAUGGCCAUUAUGCAAGAUGGCUUUACACACUGGAGCUUAAUGGGGACUCUGGUUACUGAUGAAGAUACAUUCAUGGGAUUUAACGAUGGGCUUUCUCAAUCAGUUGUAUCUGCAGAAGUGGAAAUGACAGCCUAUGCACUGCUGACAUACACGCUCCUGGGAGACGUGGCCUCUGCACUUCCAGUGGUUAAAUGGCUGUCGCAGCAAAGAAAUGCACUUGGAGGAUUCUCAUCCACUCAGGAUACUUGUGUAGCUCUGCAGGCUCUGGCUGAAUAUGCCAUUCUUUCUUAUGUUGGAGGAGUCAACCUUACCAUUUCCCUGGCUUCCACUAAUUUAGACUAUCAAGAGACUUUUGAGCUUAACAAGAUGAAUAAGAAGGUUCUCCAGACUGCAGUGAUCCCCAGCAUUCCCACUGGGCUGUUCGUAAGUGCCAAGGGCGAAGGCUGCUGUCUGCUGCAGAUUGAUGUCACUUACAAUGUGCCUGACCCUGUUGCUAAACCAGCUUUCCAGCUUCUGGUUAACCUGAAAGAGCCCAAAUCAGAAUGUCAUCGGCAAACUCAGCACCCCCUACGGCCCCUCUCUCCAGAUGAGAAUCGCUCAGAAGCCUCCCACAGAGAUCGGGCACUGGUGGAUGAUGAUGACCCAGCUUCUGAUCAAGAUCACCAGGAAUACAAAGUGAUCCUGGAGACGUGCACUAGGUGGCUGCAUUCGGGAUCGUCAAACAUGGCUGUCUUGGAGGUGCCCUUGUUCUCAGGUUUCCGAGCAGAUAUUGAGAGCUUGGAGCAGGCUGCAGAGGAUGUGUGGUUAUUAAUGAACAAGCAAACUGGAUUAAAAAGAUAUGAAGUUGAUGGGAGAAAAAUCCUUUUUUAUUUUGACGAGAUUCCUAGCCAGUGCAUGACCUGUGUAAAAUUUCAAGCCUUCAGAGAGUAUAUAGUUGGGAAAACUGCCCCUGUCCCCAUCAAAGUGUAUGAUUACUAUGAGCCAGCUUUUGAAGCGACUCGUUUCUACAAUGUGAGUGAAAACAGCCCACUGGCUCGGGAGCUCUGUGAUGGGCCAACGUGUAAUGAGGUGGAAAGCUCAGCCAGUCAUUGGGUUGGUUUUGUUCACUCUGGGCCAUGCAACAAUGUUUUUGGCUGUUUAGAAGAUGAGUAUUUUGAGCAGUGCAUGUGCUCCCGGGACUGUGGCUAUGAUGGGGAGCCAGUGUGUGGAUCAGAUGGGAUAAUUUAUCAGAACCAUUGCCAGAUGGAGGUAGCAUCCUGCAGGAAUAAUACAAGGAUAGAGCAGAUCCCUAUGUCUCAAUGUUCUGCCUCCAAGAAUUUGCCAGAAGAAAGAGAAACACAUUUCCAUGGAUUUGAGCCGCCUAGCAUUCAGCAAACUCCUGCAGAGGAAGGCCCUGCGCUCCAGUCAGACCUGUCCUACUACUCUUACGAGUACGACCCUUAUGCUUCUGAAGCUGACAUCUUUGAGGUUGCAGCAGAGCUGACAACAGCAAGCAGCACACUGAGAGAAGUGGACAAGAUUCAGGAAGUGGUGACUACAGUAGAAUGAAAUAAAUAAUUUAAAAUAAAAAGAAGAGGCUCAGAAUCAACUCCUGUACGAGUUUGUUCCUACAGAUGACCUGCUGCAGAACAGAAACCAAAUGAUGACUACUUCCUGAUGCCCUCAGAAUUGUAGGCUUUGCCUCCUCAUGGGGGGCAGGAGCUCCAACGGGGUGCUCAGCAUUAUUUUUCUAUCAAUUUUCCUGCCUUUUGUGCAUCCCCUUAGGAGUUAUUUCAAGGAUGGGAGACCAAUGUGCUGCCCCAGUGUAGGCGAGGAGAACAGGGGCUGGAAUUCAAACCCUUAGACCACUUCAAAGUAUGUUACAAGGAUCCUGCAACACCAUUUCCGAGCUACACUGAGUCCAGACCUCUGCGCUCAGCUGACUUGCUGUUUGAGGAGAGAUGGCUGAGGAGUUUUCUUUAAAAAUAAUAAGAGCCAUGUAUUUUAGCUCAGUAUGCCACAGCAAAGGUUUAACACCCCCAGCCCACCACCCCCCUACCACCCACUGCACCAGCAGCAUAUUGCCCUGCAGAAAGGAAAGUUCAUUGUUCAUCAGACUUGACGGGGGGCAUUCUCCAAAAGAAGUGAAAUCAUCUGUGAACUCCACAGGAGUUAAAAGCCUAACAGUCCAGGACAUGGCUGCAGACUCUGCCUGGGAAGAAUGCCCACAAUAGAGGUGAUUAGGGUCAAGUGGCUGAACUCCAUUCAUGCUGGAAUAAGUACUGCCAAAUGCAGCCUGCAGCUUUCUAGCCUUUGCCCUCUGGUUACUCUCUCCUUAUAACUUCAGCAUGAGAAUAAAAGAGACCUGUGGCCAUGGUGUUCUCAGUGCUUGCCUGAUUUCACCAGCCAUUUCUACUCUUCUUCCACCAGGAUCCCAGUGCAAUGAGUGUUCUUGAUGUAGAUUUCUGUGCACAGUCUGUAUGGCGCUUGGGCUACAGGGCAGAUGCAGACCCCUCCUCUUUGCCACAGAGUUUUGGCUCCUGUCUUCUAAACUGCCCUAAGCAAUGACAGCUGGGGUCUAAGCAAUGCAUUUUGCAGUGAAAUGAAGAGCAAAAGCUCUUUGUUUCCGAAGUGCAGGAGCAGAGACAUUUUGGGUCUCUCUUCCUGCUUUGAAGGAGUUUUGUGCAUCUACCUGUUGCAGAAUAGUCUUAGUGUUUCCUCUCCCCACUGCCAUCCUCCCCGCAGCACAAAGUGGGGUGUCAAUCCACAUGGAGAGUGUUUGUUCAUUAAAGGAAACAAGAAAAAGCCCAAUUCAGUUCACUUUUAGGGCUUGUGUACAGAGGGAAAUGGGCCAGAAUGGCUACUGUGAAAUAGCUCGCUUUGUGGACACUCUGUUCCAGAAUAAUUUGGGCACUUUGUGAGUGCACUGAUUAUUCCAGAAUAAAGUGAUUUUAUUUUGGAAUAGUGUCCAUGCAGGGAGCUAUUCCAUGAAAGCUAUUCUGGCCAAUUUCCCCAUGUAGUCAAGCCCUGAGUUCCAUUUUUCAAGUACUGGUUCUAGCCAGAGUGCUGAGCAAGAGAAAGAUUCCUUAGCUGUGGUGGCUCCUAACUUUCCAGUGUCAGUCUCUUAGGCUGGGGCUGAGUAGUUGCUUCAGCCUUCCCAAAUAUAUGUGCUUACAGCUCAGUUCCUGAAAUGCCCAUAAAUUCCAGACUCUCUCUGCUGGCUAGUUUUCAAAUCACUCCUUCCCCUGCUGAUCUGAACUCUUCUCUCAGGAUCCUAACGUGACCUGCCUGUGUGUAUGGCCUACUUCUCAGUAGAGAUUUUAAUGGGUGUGAAUGGACCACAUCCUAACUCUGCCCCACAGCACAGCGGAAGCACCAGCUGCUCUAUUCCUGCCUAGAAGGUAAACAAAUGCCUUCAAACUAAAUUCCAUCUCUGUGUUGGCACUGCCUGCAGCAAGCAAUUGGCCUGGCAAGCACUGGCUAUUGUGUACACAUGGCAGCAUAAGUCAAUAUUUAUUCCCUGGGUAAAUAACAGGCCUAGUGCAAGCUACAGUGAGAGGCAUUUUCUUCUUUUAAAAACAUCAGGCCUUCACAAUAAAACCCUGCUGUUUGCUGGCACCAGCCUCAACUCUCAGUAAGGCCUGAAGGCUUGAAGAGUGAGACAUGAACUGUCACCUUAAUAACAUGGCUGUGAUUCAGCUUCUUGGCCCUCCACCCCUUGUGCUUGGGCAAGGCUCCAUGUGACUGGGGCCAGGCUCCUUGGCCUCCUGUAUCUGGGAGCUCUGAUCCUCAUGCCUGGCUCCAAGAUCCCCAGCCUCCUUCUCUCUCCCUUUGCUUCCUGACUUGUUGGUGUCAUUGUCUCAUUAGAUUAACAGUGUUUUAUGUAUUUUUGUUUGUUUGUUUUAGUUGAUUAAUUAUUAUAUGCUGAUUAAUCCCACCCACAUGAUGUGCUGCUCCUGCUGGGCACCUUCUUUGGGCAGGCAGAGCUGGUGUGACCCCCAGCACAGAAGAGGGUAGAGAUGGAUGAAUUCCCCCAAGCUUUGGCCAAGUACAGAGCGAGCUCCCAUCACUUCCCUGGCUCUGUUAACUGUAAAGUAGCAGUUUAGUAUUCAAAAAAGCCUCUCCGCUAUUACCCAGAGCAGGACGGUGGGAUCUGCUGGCACUGCCCUUACCCACUGCCUGUUACUACUCUGCCCAUCACUAGAGGAGCUCUGGGUGUGGCCAGCACCCUGACCCUCAUCCGGCAGGAAAGUGAACAUUAUCUCAGUUUUAUCACUGGAGGAACAAGCACAAAGAGGUUGGGACUCCCUGAAAGUCUGUGGCAGAGCUGGGAUUAAAAUUCAGGUCUCUUGCUUUCAAGUUCCCUUCUCUAACUAGCAGCCAAUGCUGCUUCCUGUAUUCCAAUUACUGUACUAGGGUUCACCAUUCCCUGGUACCCUUAAGGCUAGAGAUCUCUUCUAGGUUAGUAGAGAACCUAUGCAUCGUCUCCUGGCCAGAACACUUCUUGUGUCCUUGGCACCUGCCAUCCAUUUGCUUUUCCACCCCAAGGGUAGAACUUCCUUUGAUCCUGAGGACAUGCUGGCAACGCUGUAGUCUGUCUCCCCCACAGCCAACUACUUGUGGCAGUUAAACAGGCUGUUUAUUUAAGGAACCAAGGAAAGAAACAUACAAAUACAGAAAAGCAGCUGCUACUUCUACACCCCACCCCACCCCCCAGCAAUGAUGAGGCAGGAAGGCCUUAUACCCACAGGUAGGUGCUGCUGGGAGUAAUUUUAUGAUUGGAGUCCAUGUUUGCCCCAGUUGAAGGCCCAGCUAUUGUGCACACUUGCAUUCUCCCUUUCCCAGACUCACUGUCCCCAUUUUCUGUUAUCCUAAUUCUCUUUUCAAGGCAAAUUAAAUUCUUGUCUUUCCCUCCCUCAUCAAAGAGCUGGUUCCAGUACAUGUUCCAUCUGGGAAUAUGUCCCAUGUAAGCCACCGAGCCCAGGGUAGGGGCUUCACACUCUUCAUUCACAGGCUUAUACCCAGUGUCGACUCUGUGGCUUCUCAGUCACACACCUGUCUCUGAGAGAGCUAAGAGGACAGAGCACUGAGGGUCCACACCAUCUGCAUUGUCAGGAUCAACUCCUCAAUGCUAUUUGGGGGAGAAGAGAGAGAUUUUUAGCCCAGCAAAAAAACAGGGUGGGUGGCUGAGAAUGAAAGAGGGCAGACAAGCAGUGGGGUUUCCUUUGGGCUUUGGGAUUUUUGCCAAUUUGGAACCAUUUCUCUCGCAUGCUUAGAGACAGUCUUCUCCUUUCCUCUGACAAUGAUUCAACAUGAAGGGGAGAGAAACUCCAGUGAGUCUGUGAGAUACAGAAGCGCCUGUUUAUACCAAGGGAUAAAAUUGACCUUGCUAGGAACAGGAGACUCUGGCAUUUCCAUGAAUGAGAGUUUACCAAGUCAGGGCUGAACAUGACGGUCUAAGGCUUAGAGGAGGUUCUGAUGAAGUUUGCCCAGCUACUUCACAGCAGGACAACCAUGUUAAUGCUAAGAUACGGUAGAUGGCUCUGCGCUGGAUCACUUCCGACGUUCCUCCCAAGCAAUCAUCCAAUCGGAAUUUCUCCUGAUCCUCUUGAGACAUCCGAGACAGCUUUUUCUGAACACUCUCCAACACGC